GCUCCCAGGAAAGGAAGGCGAGCCCCAGGUUUAACGAAGAGGGGAAUGGCGAGCUGAACAGAGACCCUGUGCCAUGUGGCGGUCGCCCCGGCCCCAUCCCGCCCGGCCCCGAGCAGCCGCUGGUCUGUUGGUGUCUCUGUCUGGACCUUUCACCCGGGUGGGGCCGUGGAGGGUGUGCUCUUCGCGUUCGACUCCUCGGACUUCGCAUGAUGUCCCGCAGGUUCAUCCAGCAUAUUCACAGAGUUGUGGGACCAUCACUACACAUGUCAGGACAUUUCCAUCACCCCAGAAAGUAACCCCAUACUUACUGUCAGUCAUUCAGGAGUGGGCUUUGGUGGACACUGACCUCUUUGCCAGGACCAAGAUAGACCCCAGCGCCUUGGUGCAGAAGCUGGACCUGGACACAAGGGGUGUCCCUUCCUCUAGGAGAGGUGCAGAGGCGAAGGCUGUUUUGCCCAAGAAGGAGAAACGGAAGCUGAGACGCGAGAGGUGGCUGCAGAAAAUCGAAGCCAUAAAGCUGGCCGAGCAGAAGCGCCAGGCAGAGCGGAGGCGGCGGGCCACCGUGGUGGUGGGGGACCUGCAGCCCCUGUGGGACGCCCUCCCUGAGCUGCUGGAGCUGGAGGCCGGCACCCGGCGGCCACAUGCCAGAAGCAGGCCGAGCAGCAGGCCCCGGCCGGCCGAGCUGAGCCGGAUGAGCGCAGCACAGCGGCUCCAGCUCCUCGAGGAAGAAAGGACCCGCUUUCGGGAGCUGCUGGCCAGCCCGGCCUACAGAGCCAGCCCCCUGCUGGCCAUCGGGCAGCAGCUGGCCCAGCGGGUGCAGCCGGGUGGCGGUGGCCUGCUCUGAGCUGGCCCGGACGUGUCGUGAGCGCCGAGGACGCACGGGGUGCCAGAGGGCCGGCUGCUGGCCGUUGUCCCCGAGCCUGGACUCUUCACUUGCUGGCUGGCGGGUGGGACGGAGCCCCGUGAGGGACAGGGACAGACGCCGUGUCUGCACAUGGACACAUCACAGGAACUGGGGAGGGACACAUGGGGCCAUGGAGGCUGCAGGUAGGAGCCCGGUCCCCAUGGCCAGAGGUCAGCACGGCGGUCCAGCCGGCACAGCCAGCCCCUGCGUGAUGCAGGCCGUCAUCCUCAGCACAUAAGAGAGAAGCCGUUUACAAAGACGUGUUUGUGACAAGCCAUUUCUGCAGCAAGACCAGCACAGGGAGAGGUGGCGGGAUGUCCCCGGGCGUGGUACUGGCCACCGGCAGCCUCCUCAGGCCCUUCUGUAGUAGCCGAGUUGCUGGUACUGGCUGCAUGUUGACUGUGUGUUUUAAGAGAAAAACUGCUUCAGGUUCUCCAGUGACUCCAGUCUGACCGUGGCCGGGCGUGCCUCGGCCCCUCGUCUCGUGGUCACUCCGUCGGGGCUGUCACCUCUGCCCAGGAGCCAGGACCUUCCCCUCGGGGCCUGUGGUCACCACGCACUGCGUUGUAGAGGGUGGCCCUGUGGGAGGAGGAGAGAUGGGGAGGCCAUGGAAGGAAGAAGGACCGAUGGGCCUCGUCACGAGGAGACACCCCACUGACAGGGACCUCAGAACCAGCCCCAAGAAAAUGGCCUGAGAAGCUGCAAACAUGGGGAUGUCAUCCCAGAGCUGAGAACCUGGGCCCAGUGGUGGCUGCUGCUCAGACAGCUGGGGUUCCUCUAGGUGCAUGUGGGGCUGAGACAGGCAGCACGUCCCAGAGCCGUCCCCCGGAGUUACAGGAUGUCCUCCGGUGAGGCCACAGCCCACAGGCCCGUCGGAGACGCCAUGUGAGUGGGAGGGAAACGACGGGUGCCUCCACCCUGGCGUGUGUGCUGUCUCACCUCUGACCUGAGCUCGGGUCUGGACCGGAAGUUACGCUCUAACCCUGGGGCCCUCAGUGGGUUGACCACAGGCACACAGCACAGGAAGGCCUCUCGGGCCUGGUCGGAGGCUCGGCGCUCCGCACACUGGUCCUUGUCCCUGAGCAGGACGGGGCUGCCUGCUCUGCCCUCAGGCUCACCUCCGAAGGUUUCCUGGUGGGGAGGCCAAGGGACCGUGACCUCCCCAACACUCCCCCGCCCCCCCACCAAACUUCCUGAAGACCCCUGCAUGGCGCAGCGGCCCACCUGGAUCUGCCUUUCCCUGAGCAGCCCCCUGCCCCGCUUGGGGCCCUGGUUGCUGCGUCCACAGUCACCUCUCCUGGUGGCAUGUGUAUCGUUACCAGUGGCCAUGACACUGCUGCAUAACAAACACCCCACACGCUUAUGGCCGGGCAGCCCCCCAGGCUUAGGCCAGGCCCAUGGGCUUGGCUGCCUGUCCCACUGACUGUUUCCUGGGUAACAUCACAGGCGGGGUGACUAAGAACAAAGGAAUCUGAGACCAGUGUUGGCGGCCGCUCCCUCCAGAGCUCCAGGCCGGCCUCAGCUUCUGUGGUUUGCCGGGAACCCAGGCAUCCCUUGGCCUGUGCCUGCACCACUCCUGUCCCUGCCUCCAUCGUCACGUAAGGACACCAGUUGUUGGAUUUGGGCCACCCUCCUCCAGUCUUAACUAAUUCUAUCUGCAAAGACCCGUUUCCAAGGACGGUCACACCCUGAGGCCCCAGGUUCCUGGGGACUUUGGAGACGCACUCUGUCUGGGUGGGCUGGCACCGGGAGUUUUAGACGCUUCCAGGUGAGGAAGGCGUGUCUAGUCGACCAGCACUGAGAAGCGGGUGGGGACAUGAGAGCCCAGUGCCAGGCAGAGUGACGGCUGGUCUGUGGCCGAGCAGGGUGUCGGGAGCAGGAGGCUGACAGCCGGCAGAGGGGUGGACACAGGGCUUGGGGAGGGGGCGUCGGGGCUGGAGCUGUGGGUGGUGGGGGCUCCCGUGAUGUCACUCCCCAGACCUUGGGCCCUUCAGCGGAGCCUGCUGCCAGCGCCCUGUGCUCUGCGUGCGUCCCCAGGCCCCAGCAGGUCUGCACGUGGCCUGCGCUGCGUCCCUGGUUCCCAUUCCUUCUGCUCCUUCCUUUCCCGCGAGGGUGGCUUCGUGCCGCUCUGUCCUGUCGGCUGUACCAGGACUUGGCCAACAGGUAGUGGGGUGAACGAUUGACGUGAGCGGCCCAGGGCAGGCAGGGCCGGGGAGGGCCAGCCUCGUGGGCGCACGAUGUGCAGGGCAGAAGCCCCAGCAAACCCCUCACUGGUCCCAGGCUGCAGCCCCCCUGAAGGUGGGGUUCAGGGCAGAGUUAGGGGAGCAGGGGCCCUGGGGUCCUCUGCAAGGGCCGCAGUCACUGGCUACCAGAGGCGAAGCCCUGGCUGGUGUGGGUCCUGCCCUCAGGUGACUAGGCGAGGAGUGAUGGCUUUGUCCCCCGGAGCUUCUGCUGCAUCAGGGUUGCACCCACCCAGGCCCUGAGGUCACCACGCCCCACCCUCCCUGGGACUCAGACCCCAUUUGUGCGGAGCGCUGAGUAUCACAAGGUUUGUCUUGGACAGAGAGGGUGGGCAGUGGCCAGGCAGCGCCAGCCAGGGGCGCCUCGCAGGGUCCUGUGCCGCUUGAAGCCAGGUGCUGUCAGGUGCGGGGUUCCCCGACUAUACGUCGUUAUGUAGCCAACAGCGUGUGCUUCUAGAAUGUUCCUCAUGCAGGCAGCCUGGGCUGAGGCCAUUGUGCUGAGAUGUGGGGGCCCAGCCCCUCCACGUCUCCAUGGUUCUUAGUGGCCAUGACCAGUUUUCCAGGGUGCUUGCUUCCAGGAUGUGGGACAGCCGGGGUGGGGGUGGGGCACAGUCCUGGAUCUGCGAUCACAGGUCUGUGUGAGGAAAGAACUUAUUUUCAAGUAAGAGUCUCAACUGCGUUUUUCUUCUAAAGAUGUUUAAAGAACGUAUGUGAAAAUGAUAAUUAACGUCUUCCUUAAGACUGGAGAAAUCGGCCGGCCAGGUGGCACAGUUGGCUAGAGACGAGCUCUGAGCAACAGGGUUGCCGGUUCGAUUCCCACAUGGGCCA